rnacentral:lncRNA from 1 species
AAAAAGUUUUGUUUAAUUAAGUUCUCGAAGUUUACCAAAAAAUAAAGUCUCCCUAUCAUCUGAUUAGUAUUGUCAAGCUUGCGAUUACAUAUGUACUUCACAACUUCUUCCAUAUACACGAAAUGUACAAGAAAUCUGUUAUUAUAUAAAACAUCACAAUAUACUAGAAUUUGUUUAUAUCUUGAAAUAAUAGAGUAAUUAAUCUAAGUUUUGAAGCUAAUUACCAUGGUAUAAUAUACUUCAGCUUGUCCAAGUUCAUGUUGAUGUUGUGAUCGACUUCGUAUCCUGUUCAAAAAAAAAAAAAAAAAUGUGGAAUGCGCUAAAAACGUGCUGAAUAAUUUGUAGUAACAAACAAAGCAACGCAUCAUGACUAGAGACAACGACAUACACAAGUCACAACCAAAGAAAAAAGCAUUAUUGAUCUACUUCUCUCCAAAGGGAACAUGGACAAGAUGGCCACAGGCCACCAACACAAUCAGAAACCACACAAUUCCUCCAAUACAAGCCAAAACUUGUCUGUAAAUUGCUUCUCCACUCUUCUCUGACAAUAAAGAAACCAUGACAUCUAUCUUAAUUGACAGCAUACCGAUCAUUAUUAGGAUCAUAGUACAUAAUCAUGAUACAUAUAUAUCAUUUUCUAGCCUACCCACUAGACAAAUAACGAGUCACAAUAAAGGCAUUUUUCUAACUCUAUUGUUUUGUGGGACCACUAAUUUACAUAAAAUUGAUAUUUUGUACUACUGUAUGGUCCAUGGGCAUGGCUACAACUAUGUGCCUCAAAUGCCAUCACGAUUCUAAUAUCUAUUUACUUAAUAGGGUUCUUGAAGCAAGUUGAUUAUGAUAUGUGGUGCUCGAUAAAGGUAAGAGUGGGAGUACUGUUGUCUAGUCGGUAAGCAAAUAAUAUCGACCAUAAAACCUCAUCAGUUGCUCUUAUACUUCACUCAAAAUAUAUUUCAAGCAAAAUGGCUAGGAACUACUCCAUGGUUCUUCUCUUCAUAUGUAUUUUCCUUCAUUUGAUAUUGGUUAACUGUCAAAGUUCUCUGGCACCAGCAUUAUAUGUUUUUGGAGAUUCUCUUAGUGAAAGCGGGAACAAUAAUUUUCUCCCAACUGAUGCGAAAGCAAACUACACACCGUAUGGUAUGGAUGUUCCAUCUGGUGCCACGGGCAGAUUCACUAAUGGCAAAACUAUUAUAGAUUUUAUUGGUAUGUAGAAUUGAAAAUUUCAGUAUUCACAAGUACGAGUAAAUGCUAACCUUUUUGCUGAUUGGCUUCUGUGUCAUUUUCAUUAGCUCAAUCGUUGGGGCUACCUCUUGUGCC